AAACAUGUCUUUUUGAAUAUAAUAUAAAGUCUAAUCUGCUCCAUGAUUAAUAAUUAAAUAGCUGCAGAAUUUUAACUGUACAAAGGUAGCAUAAUCAAUAGUUUUUUAAUUAAAAGCUGGAAUGAAUGAUUUAAUAAGGUAAAUAUUGUCUCAAAUUUAGUAAAAUUAAAAUUUUAUUUUCAGUAAAAAAUCUGGGGGGAAUUUAAAAGACGAGAAGACCCUAUAGAUUUUUAUAUUUAUAUAAUAAUUAUAUUAAUAAAUCAAUAAAAUUUAUUAUAAUAAUAUUUGGUUGGGGAAAUUAUUAAAUUUUUUUAAUUUUAAUUUAUUUUUAACAAAAAUUAUUGAAUAAAUGAAUUUAAAUAAAAUUUUUAGAAUAAAUUACCUUAGGGAUAACAGCGUAAUUUUUUUAGAGAGAUCUUAUUAAUAAAAAAGUUUGCGACCUCGAUGUUGAAUUAAGAUUAAAUUUUAAUGAAGAAGUUAAAAAUUUUUGGUCUGUUC
rnacentral:rRNA from 1 species